AUUUUCCUUCUCCUCCUUCUCUCUCCACAUAAUCUCUUCUCCCUUCUCCCCCUCCCUACCCCCGCCGCCUGCCACCUUCUCCAAUCGUUGCAGACUUCUUUUUUCCCCUCUUGUCAUCAGCGCCGCCCUCUUCUUCUCUUAUUCUCGCUAUUAACAUCCAGUUCGAGGACAAGAUUGCUCCUCCUUACUGUCGCUACAAGUGCAGCCUCCUACCACCGUCCUUUCACCUAUCCGACGCCAGAAACAAGCUCCUCAACUUUGACAUACCCAAGUCAGCUCCUUCCCAUUGUUUCUCUUUCAUCGGCAGCCUUAGGAGAGUCUCACCGGACCAGCUCCCUUCUCACUGCGAUCUAGCAGUUUUCGGCAAGAGUUAGAUGGUCAUUCUGGUGUUUUUAGAAUCCAUGCAACUCAAGCUUCAUAUAGGCGCCUCCAGAUUCGGAAUUCGACAUUGUUGGCGAUAAUUCGUUCAUUCAACCAGCUCCACCCGAGGCAUAGGAGCAGACUGCGGAGUGCGGCAGAAUUUCCUUUUUAGGUAAUUGGCAAGCUUGCAUUACAAGAAGAAGUUUUGGCAUUAAAAUACAUGAAAAUCAACCAACAAGCACUUAUUUAUCAAAGAAUAGAGAGUCAUACGAGCACGACAUGAGAAGAACUUGCCCGUGUGGACUUCCUGUGUGAAGUGCAAAAAUUAGCAGAUUGGAGGAGUGAAUGAAAUGGGAAGCACAUGCCCAUGUGGCUUUCCCGUGUGAGAUGCAAAGAAUGGCUGAUUGUCUAAGACACAACACAGAAAGAGGACAUGCCUGUAUGACUAGAGGAUUGUCUCAAGAGCGAUUUUAUGCUAAGGACACUACACAGUCGUGUGAUGCCUAUUUCAAUUAAAAAAAUACAAUAUUUAAAGGAACUUUUAGGUUGUUUUGGGGGAGUCCCGUUAUAUUUUAAUUUCUAGAGAGAAAAACACUUUGAAACUUUAUUUCCCUUUUAUUUUUAGGGUUUUGAUUAGUUAUUUCUCAAGGAAGAAUAUCAUUUCCUUUAUUACUUUUCAAGAUUAAAGAUUAAAGAUUGAAGAUUUUCAUCUCUACUCUUAUGAUUGAAGAUUUUCAUCUCUACUCUUCCAUGAAUAGUUUAAGAUUUUC